rnacentral:rRNA from 1 species
CCUACGGGAGGCAGCAGUAGGGAAUAUUGCUCAAUGGGGGAAACCCUGAAGCAGCAACGCCGCGUGAAGGAUGAAGGUUUUCGGAUUGUAAAGUCCUUUUGUUAGAGAAGAUAAUGACGGUAUCUAACGAAUAAGCACCGGCUAACUCCGUGCCAGCAGCCGCGGUAAUACGGCGGGUGCAAGCGUUACUCGGAAUUACUGGGCGUAAAGAGCGCGUAGGCGGGAUAGCAAGUCAGAUGUGAAAUCCUUUGGCUUAACCCUAGAACUGCAUUUGAAACUGUUAUACUAGAGUAUGGGAGAGGUAGGUGGAAUUCUUGGUGUAGCGGUAAAAUCCGUAGAGAUCAAGAAGAAUACUGAUUGCGAAGGCGACCUGCUAGAACAUAACUGACGCUGAGGCGCGAAAGCGUGGGGAGCAAACAGGAUUAGAUACCCUGGUAGUC